AUCUUCGGAUGUGUAUAAAGUGGCGAACGGCUGAGUAACACGUGGGCAACCUGCCCUUUGCACUGGGAUAGCCUCGGGAAACCGAGGUUAAUACCGGAUACUCCAUAUUUGUCGCAUGGCGAAUAUGGGAAAGCUCCGGCGGCAAAGGAUGGGCCCGCGGCCUGUUAGCUAGUUGGUGGGGUAGUGGCCUACCAAAGCAAUGAUGGGUAGCCGGGUUGAGAGACCGACCGGCCAGAUUGGGACUGAGACACGGCCCAGACUCCUACGGGAGGCAGCAGUGGGGAAUCCUGCACAAUGGGCGAAAGCCUGAUGCAGCGACGCCGCGUGCGGGAUGAAGGCCUUCGGGUUGUAAACCGCUUUCAGCAGGGACGAGGCCGCAAGGUGACGGUACCUGCAGAAGAAGCCCCGGCUAACUACGUGCCAGCAGCCGCGGUAAUACGUAGGGGGCAAGCGUUAUCCGGAUUCAUUGGGCGUAAAGCGCGCGUAGGCGGUCUGUUAGGUCAGGAGUUAAAUCUGGGGGCUCAACCCCUAUCCGCUCCUGAUACCGGCAGGCUUGAGUCUGGUAGGGGAAGAUGGAAUUCCAAGUGUAGCGGUGAAAUGCGCAGAUAUUUGGAAGAACACCGGUGGCGAAGGCGGUCUUCUGGGCCAUGACUGACGCUGAGGCGCGAAAGCUAGGGGAGCGAACAGGAUUAGAUACCCUGGUAGUCCUAGCUGUAAACGAUGGACACUAGGUGUGGGGAGAUUAUACUUUCCGUGCCGCAGCUAACGCAUUAAGUGUCCCGCCUGGGGAGUACGGUCGCAAGACUAAAACUC
rnacentral:rRNA from 1 species